CCUACGGGAGGCAGCAGUGAGGAAUAUUGGUCAAUGGACGAGAGUCUGAACCAGCCAAGUAGCGUGAAGGAUGACUGCCCUAUGGGUUGUAAACUUCUUUUAUAUGGGAAUAAACUGUUCCACGUGUGGGAUUUUGUAUGUACCAUAUGAAUAAGGAUCGGCUAACUCCGUGCCAGCAGCCGCGGUAAUACGGAGGAUCCGAGCGUUAUCCGGAUUUAUUGGGUUUAAAGGGAGCGUAGGUGGAUUGUUAAGUCAGUUGUGAAAGUUUGCGGCUCAACCGUAAAAUUGAAGUUGAAACUGGAAGUCUAGAGUACAGUAGAGGUGGGCGGAAUGCGUGGUGUAGCGGUGAAAUGCGUAGAGAUCACGAAGAACUCCGAUGGCGAAGGCAGCUAACUGGACUGCAACUGACACUGAGGCUCGAAAGUGUGGGUAGCAAACAGGAUUAGAUACCCGGGUAGUC
rnacentral:rRNA from 1 species